rnacentral:lncRNA from 1 species
UCCGCAUCGGCAAGGCUGUGACGCUGACAGUGGCUGUCUGCUCACGGCAUUUUGCACGGGAUCAUUUCUCCUUUCCAGAUGUUGCAUGUCAAAGACGGCGGCUGAAAAAAAAAUGCAAUACCAACUGAAAACCUGCCAAGGACGUCAUGGUAUGACAAAAACAAGGAUGCUCGUACGAAAGAGCUUUCACUGGCAAGACUUCGCCGACGUGCUGAUCGGUCAGCCAGAAAGCAUCAAGCAAACAAACUGCUGCCUCCCCAUUGGAAGCAAAGGCAUUGUCUGAUGCACCUGUAAGCACGACCACCAUGGUAAAAUGGCUGCUUGCAACUUGUGCACACAUUGCUUAACCACUGGUUCCUUGGGACUAAACUCUGACAUUGCAGAACGAUCCCCCAUCCCCUGACAGCAGCAGCAUGGACCAAAUAAGUGACAAAUAAAAUAUGCUAAUUUCUUUUUGUAUAUAGAUAUAUGUGUUGUGGUAGCUUUCUUUACCUAGACGGCGGCAUGCUUUCUGGAUUUACUUCGCAAAAGCAUUGCAUCAUGCGGUGUGUGAUGGGUGCACAUUAAUUGCAACUUGUGCACACAUUGCUUAACCACUGGU